rnacentral:rRNA from 1 species
UACAGAGGGUGCAAGCGUUGUUCGGAAUUACUGGGCGUAAAGGGCGUGCAGGCGGCCUGUCAAGUCAGAUGUGAAAGCCCACGGCUCAACCGUGGAAGCGCAUUUGAAACUGGCAGGCUUGAGUGCCAGAGGGGAAAGUGGAAUUCCCGGCGUAGAGGUGAAAUUCGUAGAUAUCGGGAGGAAUACCGGUGGCGAAGGCGACUUUCUGGCUGGACACUGACGCUGAGACGCGAAAGCGCGGGGAGCAAACAGG